GACGAACGCUGGCGGCGUGCUUAACACAUGCGAGUCGAACGGACAGGCCCUGCUUUUGCGGCGUGCUCGAGUGGCGAACGGGUGAGUAACACGUGAGUAAACUGCCCUUGACUUUCGGAUAACUUCAGGAAACUGGGGCUAUUACAGGAUAGGAGCUCCUGCUGCAUGGUGGGGGUUGGAAAGUUUCGGCGGUUCGGGAUGGACUGGCGGGUUAUCCGCUUGUUGGUGGGGUAGUGGCGGACCAAGGCUUCGACGGGUAGCCGGCAUGGGAGGUUGACCGGCGACAUGGGGACUGCGAGAGGGAGCAGUCGGGAACCGGAGGCAGCAGGGGGGAACAUGGCGGAACGGGCGGGAGCCUGUGGCAGCAACGCCGCGUGCGUGAAGACGUCCUUUGGGUUAUAAACCGCUUUGGACGGAAACGAAGCGUGAGUGACGGUAAUGGGUAAAGAAGCACCGGCUAACUACGUG
rnacentral:rRNA from 1 species